rnacentral:lncRNA from 1 species
GUGAAGAAUGAGAGUUUAGGGAAUUUCUUUGAGGAUUCAGUGCCAGUCAAGAUAAGUGUGGUUGGCUAGUGUGAUCUUCAGACUAGAGUCAAUCUAGAUGGUCAGUCCUCUCUAAAGAACCUAUGCAAGAACCAGAGACAGUGUUGGAACCCCGGGUCUGAAACAUGUUCUGAAUCUAGACCGAGUUGGCCUGGUGAUUUGAAGACAACAAGAGGGAUUCUGUUUGUUGGAAUAUUUUAUGGACAUCACGUGGUCGUCACAUGGUACAGCCGUUUGAAGAAUCAGGUCAUCUGACAAACUAAUCUCCACGGAUGUAGUCACAGGAGAAAGAUGAAAGUCUUAGAUCACAUCAUCGAAUCCACAGUCCAUGCAGGACGACCUCUGCAACACUUCUCCUUGGACACGGAUCUGCCAAGCAGAGACCAGGAUAUAUAGCAAGCAAUAUUUCAUCCCAGGUAGACCAGAGCCUAGCUUAUAACCUCUUCUCUUUGGGGUAGGGUUUGUGGCUGUCAGCCAGCAGUCUACUUCCUUGGC